GAUUGUAGUAAUUUGGAGGGAAGGGGGUUUAUGUUCUCCAUUCCAAGGGAGGCUCUAGCUUUCCUUGGCAGAAAACUGUCUUUCAAAACCAAGAUAACAGGCUUCGGAUGAAUCAAAAGAAGCUGCAUGGUGUCCUUCCCAGGUGUCCUGGUUGUGGGGAGGGGGCAAAGCUCAGCACUGUUUGGAUGUGGCCAGGUUGCUAUUCUGUAACACGCACAUCAUCGCUGCAGGCAUGGUUUCAGGGGCAAAGAAAAGCUCCUCCAAGACAUAGCUUGGAGACAUGGUUCUGAAAGAGUGGCAGCCUUGGCUCCGAGACAUUAGGCUGAAAAGCAGCACUGGCACAGGAAGCAUCUUCAGGGAAGAGAGGGAUGGAGGGGGAGUCUGCUCCCAGCCAAGCUGAGCCAAAGAAGCAGAGUGGAGAAGGGUGGAAUAGUUUAAAGUGGCCAUGCCACAUGGAAUUGAACCAGUGGAGCACAGCAAUCCGGAAAAAAACAGGCGUCACAGCACAGACUAUCCAGAUUUUGGGGAAUUUGUCCAUCACGGUUUUCAUUGUCUCAGGCCUGGGAACAGGAGCACUGACUGCAAGAAAUGCCCACCAUCUUUCCUUCAUCUGGAGAAAUCAUGUGGCGCUGGGCAUGGGCCACCACCCAGCUUUGUCCUGGCAGCCACGCAGAACGAAGCUGAGGUGAUGAACAAUUCCUUGUGUGUAAAGCACCUCUUUUUUAUACUUUUGUUGCUAAUAUUGCUGCUGUUACUGUGCUUUUUUUAUUCCAUU